UUUUGUGCUGUCGGGUAGAAAUUAGGCCCGUCAGCAAUCAAAAAUUUCAAAAUCCACCAAUCAUUUUUAGCGUAGUGGACGCUGUCGACCUUUUCGUCAUCGAACGGGAGCCGCCGAGGUAGGCGUCCCAGAGGUACUGCGGGCGAAGGGAUGGAGUAGUUGGCAUUGCUCGCGCCUCCAUGUUGGCCCGGCCUACGAUGGAUAGAAGCACGGGGACGCUGCCGGCAAGGAACCGGCCGGCGACAGCGGCCCAGCUGGCCGCGCACGCGCAGCACCGCCAAUGGUCCCUGCCACAACAAAGCGCCUUGCUGAAACGCGAAUACGAGAACGAAUUCCGGAAGCCACGACGCCAUCGAGCUCGCAGCAUGAAGGCGGCGGCCGGCAGAGGAGGGGCCAAGACGACUAGCUCGAGCGCACGCGCUUCUCAUCUCUCAGGUUCUCCUCCGCUACACACAAACACGUCCUCUUUCUCCAUCUUCAUGCUCGCGGCUCAUCCAUCUAUCGUCACUUGAAUCAAUGGAUGUUCAUCUGUACCGAAAGAUGGCCAUCCUAUAGGCGCCAAGGCUACUUCAAGGCGACUCUGCUCUGCUGACGUAGGAAGUCACACUCCAUGUGAAUGUUCAGAUUGAAAAUCACCUGAAUAUUCGUAUUUGAGUGUGAAAACUUUGUGUAUGCAACACUGACAAUUUCGUCGCUGCUUGCCAUCCCCGGAGAGUUUGUAUAGAAACAGUACAAUUAUUCAGAUAGAAACACAUCCAAAUUCUGACC